CUUAUAGAACUGCUUCUGUUACCGUUUUCGCUAAUUAUUUCUCUGCAAGAAAUAUCACCUUCAAGGUGUUGCAAAAGAAUGAUGCUAAUGCAUAUAUUUUGCGCUUUAAAAUUUUAAGGUGGCGCAUCUCUUCACACUGGGGUUUCUAUUCCUCAUCGCUUGCAUUGGAAAAGAAUGAGAAAGGAAAAGGGUGCAGAUCCAUCAUUGACCGAGUUCUAUUUUCUUUUCAUUUUGAC